CACGUAGGGUGCGAGCGUUGUCCGGAAUUAUUGGGCGUAAAGAGCUCGUAGGCGGCUUGUCGCGUCUGCUGUGAAAACCCGAGGCUCAACCUCGGGCCUGCAGUGGGUACGGGCAGACUAGAGUGCGGUAGGGGAGAUUGGAAUUCCUGGUGUAGCGGUGAAAUGCGUAGAGAUCAGGAAGAACACCGGUGGCGAAAGCGUUCUGCUAGACCUGUACUGACACUGAGGGACGAAAGCUAGGGGAGCGAAUGGG
rnacentral:rRNA from 1 species